CUUCAGGGAGCCCAGCCGCAGCGGCCGGUCGGUGUCGCGGCCCUGGCCGUAGACGGCCUGCAGUGCCUGCGCCUC
rnacentral:antisense_RNA from 1 species